rnacentral:rRNA from 1 species
UACGAAGGGGGCGAGCGUUGUUCGGAUUUACUGGGCGUAAAGGGCGCGCAGGCGGCCAUUCAAGUCAGGCGUGAAAGCCCCGGGCUUAACCUGGGAGGUGCGUCUGGGACUGGGUGGCUAGAGAUCGGGAGAGGAGAGUGGAAUUCCCAGUGUAGAGGUGAAAUGCGUAGAUAUCUGGAGGAAUACCGGUGGCGAAGGCGGCAUCCUGGACCGACAUUGACGCUGAGGAGCGAAAGCUAGGGGAGCAAACGGG